UUUCCCCACGGGGUUGUGGUGCUUGGGGUCUUUUUGUCCAGACUCCUGGGCCUGCUUUAGGAUUUUGUGAUGUACCAACACAGUGGCCAGAAGCGGCACUGGACUUUCGCCAGUGAGGGGCAGCUGGCACGACUGUGGGCCAACACCAACUGCAAAUUCAAAUGCAAAGUGCUGGCCAAUGGGAAGUUUCUUCCAAAUGAUCCAGUCUUCCUUGAGCCUCAUGAAGAAAUGAUGCUUUGCAAAUACUAUGAGAAGAGAUUAUUAGAAUUCUAUUCUGUGUUUAAGCCAGCAAUGCUAAGGUCUGUUGUGGGUACAGCUUGUAUGUAUUUCAAGCGUUUUUAUCUUCAUGAUUCAGUAAUGGAAUAUCACCCCUGGAUAAUAAUGCUAACUUGCGAAUUUUGGCCUGCAAAGUAGAUGGAUUCAAUGUAUCUAGUCCACAGUUCGCUGGGAAUCUGCAGGAGAGUCCUCUUGAGCAAGAAGAGGCACUUGAACAGAUUUUGGCAUAUGAACUACUUCUUAUACAGCAACUUAAUUUCUACCUUAUUGUCCACAAUCCUUAUAGACCGUUUGAGGGCUUUCUCAUUGAUUUAAAGACUCGCUACCCCAUGAUGGAGAAUCCAGCGAUGUUGAGGAAAACAGCUGAUGACUUUCUUAAUAGAAUUGCAUUGAGGGAUGCUUACCUUUUAUACACACCUUCCCAAAUUGUCCUGACUGCCAUUUUAUCUAGUGCAUCUCAAGCAGGAAUUACUAUGGAAAGUUAUUUGUCAGAAAGUCUGAUGCUGAAAGAGAACAGAACUUGCUUGUCACAGUUACUAGAUAUAAUGAAAAGUAUGAGAAACUUGGUAAAAAAUAUGAGCUACCCAGAUCUGAAGAAGUUGCUGUUCUGAAACAGAAGUUGGAGAGAUGUCACUCUGCUGAGCUUGCCCUUAACAUAAUUACGAAGAAGAGGAGAGACUAUGAUGAUUAGGUCUCAAAGAAACCCAAGCAUGAAGAGGAAGAAUGGACUGAUGAUGACCUGGUAGAUUGUCUCUAA